GCAAAAUUUAUGUAUACUUUGAACUACCGUUCAAACUAUGAAUUCAAAGAUGACAAGAGACAGAUGAAAAGCCAAAGAGGUUCGGCCAUGAAAUCAAGUCCUGUAAGGCUACUGAAAAGAACAGGGCUAGAAGGUUGGCUGGUGAAAAGUGCCUUCUUUGAAGGGACUGACUUCUACCUUCUGAGGUAGUUCUCAUUCAAACCCCUCAUCAACUGUUUGGAAUCUUACUGCCAAGAUCAGAAAAAGUUCCUGGGACUAACUGGAACUCAUACGUAGCAUUGAAAAACCAAUCAAAUAAAAGGUAGAGGAAACCUUCUUUGUGUUGUGAAAUGCAGAGAAGCCAGAGGAAAGGAAUCAGAAAUAGCUUUUUGACACCACCACAAAAGAAAGCUGAGACCUCCACUCGUGUGGCAGCUGAAGACUCUAAGACAUGUAAAACAGCUUGUGGCAACAGCCUGAAAGUGUCUUGCAAUAUCGUGUCCUCAUUUUGCCUGGGCAGAUGAUGAAACCACAUAGCACUAACUCGGCAGCUCACAGCAGGCAUUGUGCUACAGCUCCACAGGCUGUCAUUACGUGGGCUGCUGCCUCCUGCCUCUGCUGCCUACAUCCCCAGGGCUGCGUACAGGGCGCAGGAAAGGGUACAAACUUUCAGCUGGUGUAAAAUGGCAGAGCCCCACCAGAUUCCCUGAGACUUCAUUGAUUUACAGCAGCUGAAACUAUGGCCCCUGCUAUGCUUAAAGUCUGAGACAGGCUUUCAUUGGACACAAAAGAAUACGCUUUGGGACGCUUUGAAACCUGUGCUGUGCGCAAGCAAGGAGCUAAACGAUUCCCAAGAUUUUCUGUGAGCCAUGUACAAGCACACACUGUGCACUGAGUGCAAGCAGGCUUCACCAGACACACAGACACAGAAUACGCUCCCUGGGAUGUGCCAGGGUGAAGAAGAGUUUUCUAAGUCACUUCAUUUUUACUGGAAACCCUGCUCCAGUCCUCUCACAUACAACGCCGUGUGCACUCCUCGUAACCAGCAUUGUCUGAACUUGUGGUAUUUUAAUAAACCUUCCUGCCAAGCCAAGGACGCUCUAAGACACAUCACCUUUGUCCAGAGGAGGAUCCCAGCUGCAGCGAAGUCCAGAGAGUGUGAGCUCUGCUACAAACCAACACAUAGCAGCCCUGACCAGAUCUGAGCCUCUCUGCAUGAGGAAGCAAGCAGAUCCCGUGGCCCAAGACGAAAUGAUGCUGUGACCCCUCUCCUUCACAUUGUCAGGCAGCUUUUAGGAAGAGGUGGGAGCUCUGAAAGGCUGGGGAACAACUUUGCCUUCCCCUUCUGCACUCUCACACACAUAUACACAGUUCUGAAGAUGUAAAGCCACAAAAACAGUGGGCUGUUCCCAUUGGAAGAGAAUAUAUCAAAGUAAAGUAAGCACCUGAAAACUUACUCUCUCAAAGAGGAUAAAUAUAAGUACAGGCAACUGCUGAUGCUGUGGGCAGGCAUCAAGCUGAUAAAACCCAGCUUAAGAGGGGCUGAAGAGCCUGCAGCUUCCCCUGACUCCCAUAGGGCUUGAAGGUGCUCUGGGAAAUCUGCAGUCAUGUUUCAGUCCCACAAAAAGCCCAUGUUUUAAUAUGAAACCUACUGACAGCAACAGCACUGGAUUUGGGAUUAGAGAUUUGGGAUUGCACCUUCAGUGUUUUGCACAGAAAGUAUAUAUUUUUCUGUCUUUUAAAAGGGGUGAGGAGGGGGAAAAAAAAAAGUAUUAAAAUAUGUAUUCACUUUAGAAUGCUCUUAAGCUCAUAGGGCACCUUGGGAGAAGGCAGGAAGGUAGCAGAGGAUGAAGGACUAGCAAAAAAGAAGCCUGGGUGUGUCACAGGGGAAGGGAAAGGUUGUAGGAGGAAGCGUGGGAGGCAAUGCAGACAAGCUUACUAAAUUGCAGGGCAAAACGUGGAUUUUGUCCCCAAGCAAAACACCUCGGUAGUGCUGUCAGGUCAAGCUAAUAAAGAGAGCUCUUCAGAGACUCCGACGUCUGUC
ensembl:lncRNA